AAAAAGGCCUCUUUCGAGGCCUUUGAAAUAGAUAAUAAUUAAUUAU
rfam:Photobacterium marinum strain AK15 contig2, whole genome shotgun sequence.